AUACAUGACCACUGGAAAAAGCAUAGCCUUGACUAGAUGGACUUUUGUUGGCAAAGUAAUGUCUCUGCUUUUGAAUAUGCUAUCUAGGUUGGUCAUAACUUUUCUUCCAAGGAGUAAGCGUCUUUUAAUUUCAUGGCUGCAGUCACCAUCUGCAGUGAUUUUGGAGUCCCAAAAAAUAAAGUCUGACACUGUUUCCACUGUUUCCCCAUCUAUUUCCCAUGAAGUGAUGGGACCAGAUGCCAUGAUCUUCGUUUUCUGAAUGUUGAGCUUUAAGCCGACUUUUUCGCUCUCCUCUUUCACUUUCAUCAAGAGGCUUUUGAGUUCUUCUUCACUUUCUGCCAUAAGGGUGGUGUCAUCUGCAUAUCUGAGGUUAUUGAUAUUUCUCCCGGCAAUCUUGAUUCCAGCUUAUGCUUCCUCCAGCCCAGCGUUUCUCAUGAUGUACUCUGCAUAGAAGUUAAAUAAGCAGGGUGACAAUAUACAGCCUUGACGUACUCCUUUUCCUAUUUGGAACCAGUCUGUUGUUCCAUGUCCAGCUCUAACUGUUGCUUUGUAUACAUUCUAUGAAAUAAUAUUUUUCUAUAAAUAUUUAAAGUCUUUCAAUAUAUUUAAAGUGUCUGGAAAUAGACCUAAGGGCAUACAAAACAUGAAAUAUUAAUUAAAGAAAAUCUACGGAAAUUUGGCAAGAGCAGGGACAGUCUGUCUAGAGCAUCUCAAUCAUGACCUGUUUCCUUCCUCCUGUUCCCAGCCCAACAUGAGGAACCUCCACUCCAAGCAGUUGCGGAAAGAACACAGGGCACCCUCUCCACCGAGCUCCGGGUCAAGGUCGCAUCUUUCCGACAUUCUCCCCGGGGGAACUGCUGAGAGGUGAGAUCUCCCCGCCGGACCCGAGGUUUGGCUAGCGAGUGCAAUGCCGCGGCCCGCCGGCAGACGGUGCUCGAGGAACGGCCAUAAAGCGCCUUUGCUUUCCCGGUUUCCCUCCCUUCUGUCGAGCACAGGAGCCACUGAUGAUGGGAGGAUGGCCCCGUGUCUGCUCAGCAGCACUGACGGACCAGUUCAGCAGGCGCUCAGGCCCCACUCUGUCCACCAGGCGACUCCUUCUGCAGUAGACCAGCCCUGGGCUCCCACACCUUCUGGUCCGUUGGGGGCUACUUCGGUGCACCAGCCCGGGCCACGCCCUCCACGCUGUCUAGCCCGGGGCCAGGGUCGCCUCUACAUCUGCUGAGACCGCUGCACAAGUCCACAACCAGGAGGGCGACGCUGGACACUGACCUGGGAGGGACACUGGGCCAGAGGCUCGGGGAAGCCCGUGUCUGGACAGCCCACAGCUGGCCCCGCCCAGGGGGGCGCGAUGCCUGUGGGCGCGAUGCAGGCUGAUAGCUCGGCCCCUGAGCCGGCACUCCCCAAACGCGCCUCCAGGUAAAGGACCAUCAUCGUCACUAAUAAAAUAUGGCCCCGUGACUCAGAACACCAGGCUGAGAUCUUUCCGCACUAGAGGGCGCCAGAGACCGCGGGGGUCGCACCGGCCCCCCGCGGCUGCCGCAGUCUGUCCGCCAGGGGGCGCGAGCGCUGGCCAUGCGCGGGCCCUUCCGGUCAGCGGUGAUGGGCAUAGAAGGGUCUAGUCCCAAGAGGACCGUGGGUCUCGAGGUUAGGGGUGCUCCUCACCCCAGAGGACUCAGAAAGUUAGGAGUCAAGAAACAAAGGCUUUGGGCAUGAACUAAUGAGUGACCAGCAAAAAAAAAAGAUAUUUUAAAAAUAAGGUAGAUUAGAUUUGAAGAUUAUGCAGUAUUGGGGCCAUACUUAGACUAAAAAAUUAUUCACUGGGCAUUCUGUGUUUUAUCUGCCAUCCUGCUCAUGAAAGAUGAACAAAAGAGAACCGCGAGGAUUUUUGUCUUUUUCUUUGCUCCUUGCUGUGUGUGCGUUUGUAUUUAUCAGCCACGUUCUCUUCUUCUCAGUAUUGCCUUAUGUAGGAGCUGUCAGAGGUUAGCAGAAUGUUCCGUGGAACUGUGAGUGGAUCUGAGGACCAAUUAACACAAUUGGCUGUGAUUAUAAUGACUCUUGAGAGCAGGUGUUUUCCAUUUUGGACGGAGGGUGCUAUCUCGGGGUCAAGGAUGGGGCACCCAAACGGACACCGAGGUUUCUGUGCAGCGGGUGCCAUGCCGGGCUCUGCCAGCAGAUGGUGAUGGAGGAACGCGCAAGGCCACCGCGGCCAGAAAGCGCUUUUCCCGCUUUCCUUCCUUUUAUUGAGCACAGGGGCCAGUGACGGUGUGAGGAUGGCCCCGGGUCCGCUCAGCAGCAGCGCUGACCGACUGUCUAGGACACGUGUGGCCCCCAUCUCAGCACCGAGGCCUCCCCUUUGGCAGGGGGGGUG
rnacentral:lncRNA from 1 species